rnacentral:rRNA from 1 species
AGCAGCAGCCGCGGGAAUACGGAGGAUCCAAGCGUUAUCCGGAAUCAUUGGGUUUAAAGGGUCCGUAGGCGGUCUUGUAAGUCAGUGGUGAAAGCCCAUCGCUCAACGGUGGAACGGCCAUUGAUACUGCAGGACUUGAAUUAUUGGGAAGUAACUAGAAUAUGUAGUGUAGGGGUGAAAUGCUUAGAGAUUACAUGGAAUACCAAUUGCGAAGGCAGGUUACUACCAAUUGAUUGACGCUGAUGGACGAAAGCGUGGGUAGCGAACAGGAUUAGACCCCCGUAGUCCCUGUCUCUUAUACAC